CCUACCCCGUGCCGGGCUGGUGACGCGGCCCCGGGGUCCGGGCAUGGGGAGACGGGGCGGAGGGGCGGCCCGGACCCCGCUGGCUUUACUCUGCGAAAAUGAGGUGGGAAACGGCAACGCUGCAGUUCCAGGUGGCCUGGGGCUGUGGCCGGUGUUCCCUGAAAAGGAGUCGCUAGCCAAUUUGAGACCCUGGCUCCCCUGUCAGCCUCACACAGGGACGCACGUAGGGCCGCCGGAAAGCCGUCAGGUAGCCGGCUGACGAGUUUGGAAGCUCCUCAAAUGCGCCUCUCCUGAAGUCCGAGGGUGGUUAUAAACCCCAGCUGUCACGACAAGUUUGUUUUUCCGACAAGAUUCCAACUCCGCCAGGCUGUAAACAAUGACUUUGCCUUAGAAGUGGCAGUUGCCUAGGAAGAACUUGGAAAAGCCGUUUGAGUUGAACUGCCAAGUCUGAGCGUUUGAAGCUCCUCAGAAGUUUACUUGAACUGCGGCCCAAACUGUAUCUUUUCCACAAGGGCUGGACACGUUUCAGGAAUCUGGUGCUUCCUUGGAGAAUGUUUUCCUCGGCCUGAACUGGAAGCUGCUCUCCAUACUCCCGAGUUUCUCGUUCUCAUCCGUUGAAACUGACCUUGUCCCAGUCCCUGAGAGCCCACCGUGUGUGGAGCAAGCCUGCCGUGGGGCAGUAGUCAAGGCCACACACACCCCGCCCCUUCUGAUGCCAACUCGACGUCUCAUCCGGAAGAUCGCCGGGCGUUUUGGAACCUGAAGCCUCCGUUCUGUGUCUGCUCUGCAUUUCCUUCUUAAGCAGCUACUAUUGGGUCUGUGCCACAACACCCUGUACAUUUCCACCUCAGGCAGAGGACUCACAUUUUAAAUUUACCUAGUAGAUAUUUUUUGAUCUAUCGCCCCCAUGAGGCUGGGAAACCUUAGGUCACAAACAUUCUGUUGUUCCUUUGUCAGCACAGUCCCUGGCACUUAGAAGUAUGGUUGUGGAAAGAAGUUCCUUCAGUAGUUAGGAAGGAAAGCGUCUUCAUCGUGUGGAUUGUUUCCUUGACUGUGGAGAACAGGUCAGACAGGAAGAUGCAUUCAGAUAAAAAGUUUUCAUGGGCCAAUCUGCUGAGUUCAGCCUAGGAGCUGAGGCCAACAUCUGAGUCUCCUCAGCAUGCAAGUUUGAGAGAAGUCUUAGUGACUUCAAGCCUGGGACUAUGGCGGCGGCAGCUUCUGCUCAGCUUCAAAGCCCCCCUCCCCUUCCAGGGAGAGAUGAAGCAUGGAACAGGCGAAGCCCACGAGCACCCACGAGCUAGGCGCUGGCCACCUCAACAUCUCAACUGACCUCCCCUAAAUACGAUUCUCUGGCUUCUGCAGAGUCUAUGAUCUACUCAGUGCAUUUUUUUUUUUUUUAAUAAAAAGUACUAGUUUCUGCUUAA
ensembl:lncRNA